CUGGCCGUAAACGAUGGGUACUAGGUGUAGGAGGUAUCGACCCCUUCUGUGCCGGAGUUAACGCAAUAAGUAUCCCGCCUGGGGAGUACGGCCGCAAGGCUGAAACUCAAAGGAAUUGACGGGGGCCCGCACAAGCGGUGGAGUAUGUGGUUUAAUUCGACGCAACGCGAAGAACCUUACCAAGCCUUGACAUUGAUUGACCGGACAAGAGAUUGUCCUUUCCCCUUCGGGGGACAAGAAAACAGGUGG
rnacentral:rRNA from 1 species